GAAGAAGAAGAAGGAAAAGAAAAGCAAGUACAUUGAAGAUGGGGAAGGGCGCAAGCGCAAACUGGAUGAAAGCACUGAUAGCCCUACUUUUCAAGCUCCUGCUAAGAAAGUAAAAGUUGAAGAAGUUGAAAAGGAAGAGGUGAAGAAGGUAAAGGAAGGGAAAAUUGAGGAAAGUGAAGAUGAGAAGAAAGAGAAAAAGAAGAAGAAAAAGAA
rnacentral:misc_RNA from 1 species